rnacentral:rRNA from 1 species
CCUACGGGGUGCAGCAGUGAGGAAUAUUGGUCAAUGGGCGGAAGCCUGAACCAGCCAAGUCGCGUGAGGGAUUAAGGCCCUGCGGGUCGUAAACCUCUUUUGCCGGGGAGCAGAGGUCCGGACGUGUCCGGGCCGGGAGAGUACCCGGAGAAAAAGCAUCGGCUAACUCCGUGCCAGCAGCCGCGGUAAUACGGAGGAUUCGAGCGUUAUCCGGUUUUAUUGGGUUUAAAGGGUGUGUAGGCGGGCAUUUAAGCCGGCGGUCAAAUGUCGGGGCUCAACCCCGGCCUGCCGUCGGAACUGGGUGCCUUGAGUGGGCGAGAAGUAUGCGGAAUGCGUGGUGUAGCGGUGAAAUGCAUAGAUAUCACGCAGAACCCCGAUUGCGAAGGCAGCAUACCGGCGCCCUACUGACGCUGAGGCACGAAAGUGCGGGUAUCGAACAGGAUUAGAUACCCCUGUAGUC